GACGAACGCUGGCGGCGUGCUUAACACAUGCAAGUCGAACGGAAAGGCCCUGCUUUUGUGGGGUGCUCGAGUGGCGAACGGGUGAGUAACACGUGAGUAACCUGCCCUUGACUUUGGGAUAACUUCAGGAAACUGGGGCUAAUACCGGAUAGGAGCUCCUGCUGCAUGGUGGGGGUUGGAAAGUUUCGGCGGUUGGGGAUGGACUCGCGGCUUAUCAGCUUGUUGGUGGGGUAGUGGCUUACCAAGGCUUUGACGGGUAGCCGGCCUGAGAGGGUGACCGGCGACAUGGGGACUGCGAUACGGCCCAGACUCCUACGGGAGGCAGCAGGGGGGAAUAUUGCACAAUGGGGGGAAGCCUGAUGCAGCAACGCCGCGUGCGGGAUGACGGCCUUCGGGUUGUAAACCGCUUUCGCCGGUGACGAAGCGUGAGUGACGGUAAUGGGUAAAGAAGCACCGGCUAACUACGUG
rnacentral:rRNA from 1 species